UGGGGAAUUUUCCGCAAUGGGCGCAAGCCUGAUGCAGCAACACCGUGUGAGCGAGGAAGGCCUUCGGGUCGUAAAGCUCUGUUGUUGGGGACGAAGGGCGACGGGUUAAUAGCCCCUAGCCUGACGGUACCCUUCGAGGAAGCCCCGGCAAACUACGUGCUAGCAGCCGCGGUAAAACGUAGGGGGCGAGCGUUGUCCGGAAUUAUUGGGCGUAAAGAGCGUGUAGGCGGCCCGGUAAGUCCGCCGUGAAAACCUGGGGCUCAACCCUGGGCGUGCGGUGGAUACUGCUGGGCUAGAGGAUGGUAGAGGCGAGUGGAAUUCCCGGUGUAGCGGUGAAAUGCGCAGAGAUCGGGAGGAACACCAGUAGCGAAGGCGGCUCGCUGGGCCAUUCCUGACGCUGAGACGCGAAAGCGUGGUGAGCGAACAGGAUUAGAUACCCGCGUAGUCC
rnacentral:rRNA from 1 species